AUCUCUGUGGUGUGUAGGGCACUGAUCUCUGUGGUGUUUAGGGUACUGAUCUCUGUGAUGUGUAGGGCACUGAUCUCUGUGGUGUGUAGGGUACUGAUCUUUAUUGUGUUCCCAGGCCCGUCUUCCACUGAAGUGAAGUCUGGUCCGAUGACAUACUGCUGUGGGGAAAUCUCUCUGGGUAAGAGCCCAUACCCUAAUGUUGUGAUGGACACCUGAUUCUACAAGAUUAUCAAAGAUGGGAUGCCACGUCUCAUGACCAGACUUUGCCCUUCCAGAGAUGUACACUAUAAUGGAGAUGUGCUAGAACCUGGAGCCAAUAGUGUGUCCAUACUUCAGUAACAUUGGUCAGCUUAUACAGAGGCUACUGCUUGACCAGCCAGACCAGACGACACCAUCCGGUAUACUUCUGGCCCUUCUUUGGACACUGUGUUAACAAACCUCCAAACGAGCUUCAAUGCCAUACUACACUCCUUCCGUGGCCUCCAACUGCUCUUAAAUGCAAGUAAAACUAAAUGCAUGCUCUUCAACCAAUUGCUGCCCGCACCCGCCCGCCCGACUAGCAUCACUUCUCUGGACGGUUCUGACUUAGAAUAUGUGGACAACUACAAAUACCUAGGUGUCUGAUUAGACUGUAAACUCUCCUUCCAGACUCACAUUAAGCAUCUCCAAUCCAAAUACUUAUAUCUCCCUCUCUAACUUUAAGCAUCAGCUGUCAGAGUAUCUUACCGAUCACUGUACCUGUACACAGCCAAUCUGUAAAAAGCACACCCAACUACCUCAUCCCCAUAUUGUAUUUUUUUUGUUGCUCUUUUGCACCCCAGUAUCUUUACUUGCACAUCAAAAUUGUAAUUAUUGUAAAUUGUCAUUAUUUCACCACUAUGGCCUAUUUAUUGCCUUACGUCCCUAAUCUUACUACAUUUGCACACACUGUAUUUUGUGUUAUUGACUGUACGCUUGUUUACUCCAUGUGUAACUCUGUGUUGUUGUUUGUGUCCCACUGCUUUGCUUUAUCUUGGCCAGGUCGCAAUUGUAAAUGAGUACUUGUUCUCAACUGGCCUACCUGUUUAAAUAAAGAGUAAGAACUUGGAAAUCUGACUACAGACAUUGGGCAUGUACAGAGAGUCACAGUUUCCAUCCGAGUUGACGGAGAUGACACCCACAGCCUUCCCAUUGAGCACCAAAGGACCACUAGAAUCCCCCUGUGGUUACAUACCAGUCAAAAUGGUCCCAUUUCGGUGCAUGUAUGAUGUAGGAUACACAUGUAUGAACAUCACAUUGUCUUCCUACAAUUUUCAAAGUCAAUGUUAUAUUUAUUUGGAGUUAAACAGCACUGGCAAGCCGUUCUUGGUCAGGUAUUCACCUGUACAGAUGACCUUGGGAGGAAGUUUACGCCACUCCUUCUGGCAGACAUUCAGGACAAUGGUAGUCAUGUCCACCACUUGAAGGUCAUCAACAAGGCACUUGGUGUUGGGAUUGAUGACUUGGUCCUAGAAUUUUCCCUGUUUUCACAGCUUUAUUUGAUUUAGCCUUCUUAGACAGCUUGAAACACAUGUGUAGGCCAAAACGUGGGAAUCUGUAGUAUUAGCAAUUACUGAUGAAUGCAUAUGACCUAUUAGGAUGUACACUUAGUAAUAGUGUAAAUAAUAAUAUAAAGACAAAAUUAUAUUGAUACAAAUAUGUCACUAUAGGCCUACCUUCAGAAUCAUGAUGUCAUUACCAGUGUCAACAUCUUCAUAGUUGGUUGCAUUUGUUUUCCACAUUGUAUCUGACAGAGAUGGUACUGCAGGGUAUUCUUCUGUGCUUUUUUCCCCCAUUGAUGAGAUAGUAAAAGUGGCCACAAUGAACUAAACGGUAAGGUAAUAGGCAUUUGUUCAGAUCUCAUUGAUGCCCAUCAAGUUCAGGAGAGAGAAUUGACCCAGAUAGGUCAGGGGUACAGUAAGUAGGUUGUUUGUGGUGUGCAUUGUGCUUGGAGAGCUUGUCAGGAAUACCUGAUUCACCCUUGGCCCCUUUGUAUACACAAGAUGGUCCAUCUGAGGACAGCUGUGGUUUCACUUCUAUGAUUACUAUUUAUGAUGUUUCCAUUGAUCCUUGUAUGGUUUUCCUGUAAAGCCAAGGUAUGUGUUUUCUGCAUUUACCAUAACUCUGUCGACCCUUUUGCAUAUGAAUAGGUGGAGGGUUAUCAUGGGGACCUUAUGUCAUUUAACAUUUAAGUCAUUUAGCAGACGCUCUUAUCCAGAGCGACUUACAAAUUGGGUGACACACUGAUUGUUGCCAAUCCUCCUUGUUGUCGUGUUGAUGACCUUAUACUGUUUGUAUAUGAUUGGCUGGUGGUAAUUUAGAGUGUAUGAAUACUCAUAGUUGCAUGCAGUGCUGCAUUUACCUCAUAUAGGUCAACUCAACUUCCUCUCCCUCAUGCAAGAGCUGUGUCUUCUCCUGGUUGAUGCUCUCCUGUGUUACCAUGCCAACUAUGAACAACCUUUGGUUUACAAAGGCUGACGACAUUCUUGAUGCUUUGAAAGACACAGUGACAGUCAUAAGACCUUGCCACUCUGUGGUCCUGCACUAGAGGAAGAGGGGAGGGGGCAUAUCUUCUUACAAUGAAAAACUAGUAGAGAUAGGCCUGCACAGUGCACCUAUUCAGAACAGCAUGUAAACUACGAAAGGGCCAUACCUUUCUAGUCACUGUAGAAACAACAGUAAAUCACAUUUUAAAAUGUAAUGUUAGUUUAA